GCGUGAGUGAAGAAGGCCUUCGGGUUGUAAAGCUCUUUCACUGGCGAAGAUGAUGACGGUAGCCAGAGAAGAAGCCCCGGCUAACUUCGUGCCAGCAGCCGCGGUAAUACGAAGGGGGCAAGCGUUGUCCGGAAUUACUGGGCGUAAAGGGCGUGUAGGCGGAAUGGCAAGUUAGAUGUGAAAGCCCCGGGCUCAACCUGGGAAUUGCAUUUAAGACUGCCAAUCUAGAGUACGGAAGAGGGUCGUGGAAUUCCCAGUGUAGAGGUGAAAUUCGU
rnacentral:rRNA from 1 species